CUACGGGAGGCAGCAGUGGGGAAUCUUGGACAAUGGGGGCAACCCUGAUCCAGCGACGCCGCGUGGGUGACGAAGGCCUUCGGGUUGUAAAGCCCUUUUCUUGGGGACGAUGAUGACGGUACCCAGGGAAUAAGCACCGGCUAACUCCGUGCCAGCAGCCGCGGUAAGACGGAGGGUGCUAGCGUUGUUCGGAAUUACUGGGCGUAAAGGGCGCGUAGGCGGCCAGAUCAGUCGGGUGUGAAAGCCCGGGGCUCAACCCCGGAACGGCACCCGAGACGGUUUGGCUGGAGACCGGGAGAGGAGGGUGGAAUAGCCAGUGUAGAGGUGAAAUUCGUAGAUAUUGGCUGGAACACCGGUGGCGAAGGCGACUCCCUGGACCGCAACUGACGCUGAGAUGCGAAAGCGUGGGUAGCAAACAGGAUUAGAAACCCCGGUAGUCC
rnacentral:rRNA from 1 species